UUUAAAUGUAGUUUAAUUAAAGCACCUAACUGUUAAUUAGGAGAUAUAAAAAAUAUCGUUUAAAA
rnacentral:tRNA from 1 species